GAUGAACGCUGGCGGCGUGCCUAACACAUGCAAGUCGAACGGAGUCCAGCCUUUAAGACCUUCGGGUCAAAGAGGGGAAGACUGAGUGGCGGACGGGUGAGUAACACGUGGGCAACCUGGCUCAUAGAGGGGGAUAACAGAGAGAAAUUUCUGCUAAUACCGCAUAAGCACACACUGCCGCAUGGCAGAGGGUGAAAAGAGAAUCGCUAUGAGAUGGACCCGCGUCUGAUUAGCCAGUUGGCAGGGUAAGAGCCUACCAAAGCGACGAUCAGUAGCCGAUCUGAGAGGAUGAACGGCCACAUUGGGACUGAGACACGGCCCAAACUCCUACGGGAGGCAGCAGUGGGGGAUAUUGCACAAUGGGGGGAACCCUGAUGCAGCGACGCCGCGUGAGUGAAGAAGUAUUUCGGUAUGUAAAGCUCUAUCAGCAGGGAAGAUAAUGACAGUACCUGAAUAAGAAGCCCCGGCUACUACGUG
rnacentral:rRNA from 1 species